GUUUUUUCUCAGGCAGCAAUGUCUGAGAAACGUUCACUGUGAACAAAUCAGGACGCUUAGAGUAUGGUUACAAGAAUGACUCAGCGCAGUAUGAAUUCUUUGUUUUCUUCGGAAAACAAGCUCAACGAGAGCCAUCGGGGGUAGAUCUAUCUCAUGACGAGUGGUGGAAUACGGUGACUCAUGAGAGAGAAACGGAGGCGAAGGCGUCUACCUAGAGGGUUUCUGUCGAUCAAGGGCGAGAGUAGGAGUAUCCAACAGGAUUAGAGACCCUGGUAGUUCCUACUAUAAACGAUGCCGACAGGAGUUUGUCAUUUUAUAAUGGCAGAAUCUUUGGAGAAAUCAUAGUUCUUGGGCUCUGGGGGAACUACGACCGCAAGGCUGAAACUUGAAGGAAUUGACGGAAGGGCACACCAGGGGUGGAGCCUGUGGCUUAAUUUGAAUCAACACGGGGAAACUUACCAGGACCAGAUGUUUUUUAUGACUGACAGGCUUUGGGUCUUUCAGGAUAUGAUUUUUGGUGGUGCAUGGCCGUUGGUGGUGCGUGGGUUGACCUGUCUAGCGUUGAUUCAGCUAACGAGCGAGAUUAUCGCCAAUUAUAUACUACGCCUAGGUUUCUAGGUUGC
rnacentral:rRNA from 1 species